rnacentral:rRNA from 1 species
GGUGAACGCUGGCGGCGUGCUUAAGACAUGCAAGUCGAACGGCAGUCUUCGGACUGUAGUGGCGCACGGGUGAGUAACGCGUAACUGACCUACCCCAAAGUCGCGGAUAACGAUUCGAAAGAAUCGCUAAUACGUGAUGUGCUGUCAGAUUGUGUUCUGCCAGUAAAGAUUGAUUGCUUUGGGAUGGGGUUGCGUUCCAUCAGCUAGUUGGUGGGGUAAAGGCCCACCAAGGCGACGACGGAUAGCCGGCCUGAGAGGGUGGCCGGCCACAGGGGCACUGAGACACGGGUCCCACUCCUACGGGAGGCAGCAGUUAGGAAUCUUCCACAAUGGGCGAAAGCCUGAUGGAGCGACGCCGCGUGAGGGAUGAAGGUCUUCGGAUCGUAAACCUCUGAAUCAGGGACGGAAGACACUUCGGUGGGAUGACGGUACCUGAGUAAUAGCACCGGCUAACUCCGUGCCAGCCGCCGCUGUAAAAC